CAGUCGCCGCGGGAAUACGAAGGGUGCAAGCGUUACUCGGAAUUACUGGGCGUAAAGCGUGCGUAGGUGGUGGUUUAAGUCCGUUGUGAAAGCCCUGGGCUCAACCUGGGAAUUGCAGUGGAUACUGGAUCACUAGAGUGUGGUAGAGGAUAGUAGAAUUUCAGGUGUAGCAGUGAAAUGCGUAGAGAUCGGAAGGAACAUCUGUGGCGAAGGCGACUAUCUGGGCCAACACUGACACUGAGGCACGAAAGCGUGGGGAGCAAACAGGAUUAGAUACCCGUGUAGUCCCUGUCUCUUAUAC
rnacentral:rRNA from 1 species